rnacentral:rRNA from 1 species
UAACCUGCCCAAGAGAUCGGGAUAACACCUGGAAACAGAUGCUAAUACCGGAUAACAACAGAUGAUGCCUAUCAACUGUUUAAAAGAUGGUUCUGCUAUCACUCUUGGAUGGACCUGCGGUGCAUUAGCUGGUUGGUAGGGUAACGGCCCACCAAGGCGAUGAUGCAUAGCCGAGUUGAGAGACUGAUCGGCCACAUUGGGACUGAGACACGGCCCAAACUCCUACGGGAGGCAGCAGCU